AUUGAACGCUGGCGGCAUGCCUUACACAUGCAAGUCGAACGGUAACAGGUUAAGCUGACGAGUGGCGAACGGGUGAGUAAUGUAUCGGAACGUGCCUAGUCGUGGGGGAUAACUGCUCGAAAGAGCAGCUAAUACCGCAUACGACCUGAGGGUGAAAGCGGGGGAUCGCAAGACCUCGCGCGAUUGGAGCGGCCGAUAUCAGAUUAGGUAGUUGGUGAGGUAAAGGCUCACCAAGCCGACGAUCUGUAGCUGGUCUGAGAGGACGACCAGCCACACUGGGACUGAGACACGGCCCAGACUCCUACGGGAGGCAGCAGUGGGGAAUUUUGGACAAUGGGCGCAAGCCUGAUCCAGCCAUGCCGCGUGCGGGAAGAAGGCCUUCGGGUUGUAAACCGCUUUUGUCAGGGAAGAAAAGGUUCUGGCUAAUACCUGGGACUCAUGACGGUACCUGAAGAAUAAGCACCGGCUAACUACGUG
rnacentral:rRNA from 1 species